GCACCAUACAGAUUUGUCUGUUUUAACAGAUUAUACGAAUUAUGCUUGUUGUUCCUUGUAAAACACAUAUUCUCUGACAUAACCUAACCAUGGAUUUGAGCCCAUAUAUCUUGAUUAUACAAUUGUCAAUCAAGUUGAAACUGAAGUAGCCUAAAAUUGAUAUUUUUAUCUAACAAAUGACACUAAUUUGGAACUUGUAACGGUUCACCAAAUUCUGGGCCCAACGAUGUACCUAUGGGAGGUGGUCGAUCUCUUUUCAUGUGGUCAGU